AGUGAACGCUGGCGGUAUGCCUAACACAUGCAAGUCGAACGGCAGGACAGUAAGAUCUUGCUCUUACGGGUGGCGAGUGGCGGACGGGUGAGGAAUACAUCGGAAUCUACUUUUUCGGGGGAGAUAACGGAGGGAAAGUUACGCUAAUACCGCAUAUGACCUACGGGGGAGAGCAUUGGAUCGUCGCAGCGUUCGGGAUUGGAAUAGCCGAUGUCGGAUUAGAUAGUUGGCGGGGUAAAGGCCCACCCAGUCGACGAUCCGUAGCUUGUCUGAGAGGCUGAUCAGCCACACUGGAACUGAGACACGGUCCAGACUCCUACGGGAGGGCGCAGUGGGGAAUAUUGGACAAUGGGGGCAAGCCUGAUCCAGCCAUCGCGCGUGGGUGAAGAAGGCCUUCGGGUUGUAAAGCCCUUUUGUUGGGAAAGAACCGCAGCCGGUUAAUACCACGCUGUUCUGACGGUAACCAAAGAAUAAGCACCGGCUAACUUCGUG
rnacentral:rRNA from 1 species